rnacentral:tRNA from 1 species
AAGACCUGUGGCAGAAGGGCCCGCUGCGCACGCUGCGGCUGGGCGACGUGCUAUUGAUCUAGGAGCGCCCUGGCGUUCGGUCCGUCAGAUCUUG